ensembl:lncRNA
UACUAAAUGAUGCUCUGAUGAGUGUGCUAGGAUUAGGUUUUGAUGAUGAUUACAUAACUUUGUAACAUACAAAAACCAUUGAACUGUACAAUUUCAGCAGAAACAUUUUAUCAAUUCUUUAUUCUUUUUAAAAGAAUUUAUCUCAAUAAUGCUGUUAAAAUUCACAGUGAUUUAAUCCAGUAAAUGUUUAUUUCUCAUUUGUGUUUCAUAUACAAAGAUGGUCAAUAUAAGGUAUCUGCUCAUGGCUGUUCCUCUGAGACCCUGGCUGAUGGAAAAUUUACUCUAUCACAUACUUCUUUGUUCACUAAGGUGAAACAAAGGAAAAGAAUUGGCUACCGGUCCCUAAAACUUCCACAUGGAAGCAAUGCAUAUCUCUUCAACUCAUGUUUCAUUGACCAAAAGAAAUCAUGUGACCACACCCAAAUUCAGAGGUAGAAAACUUUCAAUUCUGCCACCUACCUGGGAGAACAGAAGAAGUGGACUAUUUGUGGGGGAUCCUAAUAAAUAUAAUGUUCUGUUCUGUUUCCUAGAUUUUAGUUCCUGAGAACAGUGAGUCUAUAUUUACUCACUGCACUAGAAAAAUAAACUUCCUGAAAUUGCCUUUUCUUUUUCUUUGUGAAUUCUGAAGAAGACAGAAGUAUUUAAAUGAAUGAGAUUUUAAGGGAAAAAGAGCCUACACACCACUCUAGAAUUGUGUUUUUCUUGCAGUAAAUGUUUCAUGAUUGUGAACUCCUUGGACAAAUGAAAAAGAAAUGAUUAAGCAACAGUGCUGAGUAGUGAAUGAUCCAGAGCCCAGAGUGUGAAUCGAGGGUUCAAAAUUGUCUGGAGCCAUGACUAUGUAAACAUCUAGGCUAGGAGCUCCUGGUCCUGUGGAAAUGGGAGUAACAUAAAUGGC